UACGGGGGGGGCAAGCGUUGUUCGGAAUUACUGGGCGUAAAGGGCUCGUAGGCGGCCAACUAAGUCAGACGUGAAAUCCCUCGGCUUAACCGGGGAACUGCCCCUGAUACUGGAUGGCUUGAGUUCGGGAGAGGGAUGCGGAAUUCCAGGUGUAGCGGUGAAAUGCGUAGAUAUCAAGAGGAACACCAGUGGCGAAGGCGAGUCCCUGGACGAUACCUGACACUGAGGCACGAAAGCCAAGGGAGCAAACAGG
rnacentral:rRNA from 1 species